rnacentral:rRNA from 1 species
AUGUGGCGGCUAAGGAUCGGGGAGGAGGCCGGCGGCCAGCCGUGGCUGCGCACCACCAACGCGCACGCCGGCCGCCAGGUCUGGGAGUUCGACCCCGCUGCUGCCGGCGCCCUGGACGACGUCCACAACGCGCGCCGCGAGUACUCCAGCCGCCGGCACCAGCUCAAGCACAGCGCCGACCGCCUCAUGCGCUUGCAGUUCGCUGAGUUGACUGCUCCUAAGCUGGACAUUCCUGGUAUCAAGCUCCAAGAGCAUGAAGAUGUCACUGAAGAAGCUGUUUUGACCUCUUUAAAGAGGGCAAUCGGACAGCUGUCUACUCUCCAAGCAUAUGAUGGACACUGGCCUGGGGAUAUCGCCGGUCCUAUGUUCCUUCUGCCAGGCUUGGUAAUAGCACUGCAUUCGACUGGUGCUCUAAAUACUGUCUUAUCGUCAGAGCAUCAGAAGGAGAUACGUCGGUAUCUCUACAAUCAUCAGAACAAAGAUGGAGGCUGGGGAUUGCACAUUGAGGGCCCAAGCACCAUGUUUGCUUCUGUCUUGAACUAUGUUACCUUGAGAUUACUACGAGAAGGAUCAGAUAGUGAAGAUGGAGCCAUUCAGUUAGCUCAGAAUUGGAUUUUGGAUCAUGGAGGAGCAACCUUUGCAACAUCAUGGGGAAAAUUUUGGCUUUCGGUUCUUGGUGUAUUUGACUGGUCUGGUAACAACCCAUUGCUUCCGGAACUAUGGUUACUACCAUACUGCCUCCCAUUUCAUCCAGGGCGGAUGUGGUCCCAUUGCCGAAUGGUAUACUUUCCCAUGUCUUACAUAUACGGAAAGAGGUUUGUCGGCCCAAUUACACCAACUGUAUUGAACUUACGGAAGGAACUCUAUAAAGUACCCUAUGAUGAGAUAGAUUGGGACAAAGCUCGCAACCAAUGUGCUAAGGAGGAUCUGUACUGUCCUCAUCCACUCGGACAAGAUAUCUUAUGGACCACUCUUCACAAAUUUGUUGAACCAGUUCUGUCGCAUUGGCCUGGAAGCAAAUUGAGGGAGAAAGCUUUGAAAAAUGCUAUGCAACAUAUUCAUUACGAAGAUGAGAACACCCAAUAUGUUUGCAGUGGUGCUGUAGGGAAGGUACUGAAUAUGCUUUGUUGCUGGAUAGAAGAUCCUAACUCAGAGGAAUUCAAACUUCAUAUUCCAAGGAUCUAUGAUUACUUGUGGGUUGCUGAAGAUGGCAUGAAGAUGCAGGGUUAUAAUGGCAGCCAGCUUUGGGACACAGCUCUUACAGUUGAAGCUAUACUGGCUACGGAACUCACAGAAGAGUUCCGUCCUACUCUUAAACUAGCCCAUGACUACAUAAAAAAUUCACAGAUUCUUCACGACUGCCAUGGAGAUUUGAGUGUCUGGUAUCGUCAUAUAUCUAAAGGUGCAUGGACCUUUUCAACCGCCGAUCAUGCUUGGCCUGUAUCAGAUUGCACUGCACUAGGAUUAAAGGCCUCAUUGUUGUUGUCAAAGAUUUCUCCAAAAAUGGUUGGCGUAUCAAUAGAAGCCAAUAGACUUUAUGAUGCUGUCAAUUGCCUGCUUUCUUGGAUGAAUGGAAAUGGUGGCUUUGCAUCGUAUGAACUCACCAGGUCUUAUGCCUGGAUGGAGUUUCUCAAUCCUUCUGAGAUCUUUGGGGACAUAAUGAUUGAUCAUCCUGUUGUUGAAUGUACUUCAGAAGUGAUCCAGGCCCUGACUACAUUCAGAAAGCACUACCCUGGACAUAGGAGGGAAGAGAUAGACAAAUGUAUACAUAAAGCUGAAAACUUCAUUGGGAGUAUUCAAAGAAAUGACGGCUCAUGGUAUGGCUCCUGGGCUAUUUGUUUCACCUAUGGGACAUGGUACGCAGUGAGGGGAUUAGUUGCUGCUGGAAGGACAUUCAAGAACUGUCAUGCUAUCAGGAAGGCCUGCGACUUCUUGUUGUCGAAAGAGGUUCCUUCUGGUGGCUGGGGAGAAAGCUAUUUGUCAUGCAGAGAUAAGGUUUACACCGAACUUGAAGGAAGGCGCCCCCAUGUAGUCAACACCAGUUGGGCCAUGCUGGCCCUAAUUGAUGCUGGGCAGGCCGAGAGAGAUCCAGGGCCUCUGCACCGGGCAGCAAAGGUUUUGAUUAACCUACAACUAGAGGAUGGCGAGUUCCCUCAGCAAGAGAUCAUCGGCAUCUUCGCCAGAAACUGCACCAUCACCUACUCCCAGUAUCGGAAUAUCUUCCCUAUCUGGGCGCUCGGAGAGUACUGCUGCCGCGUCCUGGGCAGCAGAUCACCAGAGGAACAUGGCGAUGCCUAG